rnacentral:rRNA from 1 species
GACGAACGCUGGCGGCGUGCUUAACACAUGCAAGUCGAACGAAGAGCGAUGGAAGCUUGCUUCUAUCAAUCUUAGUGGCGAACGGGUGAGUAACGCGUAAUCAACCUGCCCUUCAGAGGGGGACAACAGUUGGAAACGACUGCUAAUACCGCAUACGAUCUAAUCUCGGCAUCGAGGAUAGAUGAAAGGUGGCCUCUACAUGUAAGCUAUCACUGAAGGAGGGGAUUGCGUCUGAUUAGCUAGUUGGAGGGGUAACGGCCCACCAAGGCGAUGAUCAGUAGCCGGUCGGAGAGGAUGAACGGCCACAUUGGGACUGAGACACGGCCCAGACUCCUACGGGAGGCAGCAGUGGGGAAUCUUCCGCAAUGGACGAAAGUCUGACGGAGCAACGCCGCGUGAGCGAUGACGGCCUUCGGGUUGUAAAGCUCUGUUAAUCGGGACGAAAGGCCUUCUUGCGAAUAGUGAGAAGGAUUGACGGUACCGGAAUAGAAAGCCACGGCUAACUACGUG